UUUUUAUUUUUUUUACCAGAGGAAGCGGCUUUUAUUGAUGGGUUAUCUCCAGAAACCAGAAAGACUUUAUGUACUCACUUUCAGUUACCCCCAUGCCUCCAGGAUCGCAUGUUGCUCCACCUGGGGGCGGAUAUAAAUUACCUCUAGAUUGUCCAAAGCCCAGUCUUUCCGCCUUAGAAACUAAGUAGCAAUACUGGUUGGUGUUUGUUUGUUUCUACCCCAGCAAUGACUGCUGAUGCACAGGAAAACAGUAUCAUAGCCUAUCAAAGGGCCCUCUGCCCUGCCUCAGUGGCUUGAUUCUUCAUUGGUUGCAUUUCUCUUUGUGUUGGAUGACGCCCUUCUGAAUCAGAUUAGGGAUUUCUACUGCCAGCCCAGGACCCAGCCCCAGAGCCAUGAGAUGAGCUAGUCCAAAUUUGGGCACAUUCCUGGCCCACAAAGGUUUGAAAUGAUCCAUCAGGCAUAUUUUGCCACCCCUGUACAUCUUUGCUGUCUUUCCAUCCAGCUCAGGAACUGCAAUUUCUGGGGGCAGUAGUAGGAUAUGUGAUAGGAAUGUCAAACUCGAUGUCAAACUAAUAUUUCAGGAGGUCAUGGAUAUACCAGCAUUUUCCAAACCACCGAGUCCCUUCCUUGUUGGACUCCAGUCGGAACCAAUCGUUGUCAGCAUUCUUGUUGUUUUCCACAUACCAGAUAAGGGACUGAUAUUCCUCCUUCAGUCGCUGCACCCACAACUCCCGAUCUCGGGGUCCGGCGUUAGUCUUCACCACCGGGAUCUCAGACACAACACGUCGCGUGGCCUCAUCCGCCAUCUUCGAUUUAUUCUUUUUAACAAGACCAAGUGAAGUAUUAAUGGUCACCCUUUACCAAUGAGGAACAGGAGGCUGAAAGGAGAGGUGCAUUUUCUCAGAUAACAUGGCCACUUUGAGGCAGAGCUGGGAUUUCUGGGGCUCCCUCACUAUGCCAGGGAGACCCUGUUCCAUUCAGCCUCGUCCCACUGGGGCCUCCAAAGGGCCUGGCACAGCUUUCCAGCAAAUGUUUGUUGACUGACCAACUGACUGACUGAAUCAAAGAAUGAAUGAGCAAGUGUCUAAUUUCCAGGAUAACUGUGGAGUGGGAGCUGUAAAGUGGCCCAGGUACUUUGCUUAGAAGCACAAACUAGGUUGGAAGAGCACUAGCUAAUAGAGUUGUGGUCAGACAUGGAUUACACUUUUCCAAGCAUUGGAAUACGGUAAUAUCAAUCAUGUUUCUACAAAUCGCCUUUUAUUUCUUCUUUUUUUCUGAGACAGGGUCUCGCUGGCGUGCAGUGGUAUGAUCUUGGCUCACUGCAACCUCUGCCUCCUAGUUCAAGUGAUCCUGCCGCUUUAGCCUCUCAAGUAGGUGGAAUUAGAGGUACGCGCCAUCAUGCCUGGCUCAUUUUUGUAUUUUUUGUAGAGAUGAGGUCUCACUAUGUUGCCCAGGGUGGUUUUGAACUCUUGGACUCAAGUGAUGCACCCGCUUCAGCCUCCCAAAGUGCUGGGAUUACAGGUAUGAGCCACCGCGCCCGGCCCACCUUUUGUUUCUUCUCAUUCUGCAUAUGUGGAAUUUGCUGCAUCUGGUUAGUCAGGCCAACUACAGUUGACCCUUAGACAAAACGGGUUUGAACUGCACAGGUUCACUUCUCUAUGGAUUUUCUCCCACCUCUGCCACCCCUGAGACAGCAAGACCACCCUUCCUCCUCCUCAGCCUACUCAACUGAAAGAGCAAGGCUGGAAGCCCUCUGUGAUGAUUCAAUUCCACUUAAUGAAUAAUACAUAGAUUUUCUCUUCCUUGUGAUUUUCUUAAUAACUUUCUUUUCUCUAGCUUACUUUAUUGUAAGAAUACAGCUUAUGAUACAACAGAUAACAUACGAAACAUAUGUUAAU
ensembl:lncRNA